GAUGAACGCUGGCGGCGUGCUUAAUACAUGCAAGUCGAGCGAACGGACGCGACGUUUGCUUCUCUGAUGUUAGCGGCGGACGGGUGAGUAGCACGUGGAUAACCUACCUCUAAGACUGGGAUAUCUUCGGGAAACUGGAGUUCCUACUGGGUAAUAUUUUGAGCCGCAUGGUUGGAAAGUGUAAGACGGUUUUGCUGUGACCUCUAGCUGGCUCCGUGGUGCUUUGGUGAGUUGGUACGGUAACGGCUUGCCAGGGCAGGAAUGGAUAGCCGACCCGCGAGCGUGAAGCCCCACUCAGAGGCUGGAACGCGAUCCAGACUCCUACGGGAGGCAGAAGUAGGGAAUCUUCCGCGAUGGGCGAAAGCCUGACGGAGCAGCGCCGGGUGGAUGAUGAAGGUCUUCGGAUCGUAAGACGCUGUUAUGAGGGAAAAACACUUGUGUAAGUGACUAUGCACAUCUUGACGGUACCUAGUCAGAAAGCCACGGCUAACUACGUG
rnacentral:rRNA from 1 species